rnacentral:lncRNA from 1 species
CUAAGUUUGGGAAGAUAAUUAAGGUCAUGUCACUGAUUUUGAUAUAAUUAGACAACUAACAAUUGUGUCUCUUUUGAUCCGGUUUUAACCUUUUCUUGUACAAGUAGCAGGUGAAAGGGUAGAAGGUGAGAUGACGUAGACAAAAAAAAAUAUGGCUAGUAUUAUAACAAAUAAUAUAUGGUCAGGAGUGGAGAAAAAGAGACAUCCACGUUACAUAUUUAUUGACCACAUAUGUAUGUACUGAAUGUUAUAUUCCACAUCACACGAAAUAGUAUAGGAGGACUAAAACCACAUCCAUAAUCCUUAAAUACUAAACACUAUCCCAACUCCAAAAUACUGAAUCAUAAAUCAUAAUCCAAAUAUAAACUAUAAUUAGGUGACGAAAUGAUAGUAAAAUGAAUAGAUAAAAUAUAAAACUUUUCAAUAAAGAAUUCAUUCCAUAUUAACCUAAUACACAACUUUUAAAUAUUAAACUCAAACCAAAUUUUAAAAUACUAAACCCAAAUAUAAACUUUAAUUAUCAACCCUAAACCCAAUUAUCAAAAUAUGAAAAUAAUAUAAUAUUAAACUAAAUCCAGGCCUAACUUUUAAAUAGUAUAGGGCUCUAAGACCAUCUCCAAUGAGACUAUUUUUUCCUCUAUAAAUUUACACCAAAAUAGAGUAACUCUAUUAUAGUGUAACUUUUGCUCCAAUAAUGUUACUCUAUAAUAGAGUUACUCUAUUACAGAGUGAAAUAUAGAGGAAUGUCACUUUUCCACUCCAUUGGAGCAAAAGUUACACUAUAAUAGAGUUACUCUAUUUUGGUGUAAAUUAUGGAGGAAAAAAUAGAUUGUCAUUGGAGAUGCCCUAGCCCAACACACAAUUUCUAAAUCCUAAUUACAGACCUAACUUUGAAUACUAAACCCUAAACUGCUAUCACUAAACUCAAACCUCAACUUCUAUUUUUCAAAUAUUAAACCCUAAAUCCUAAUCGCUAAACUCUAACCCAAAUAGAAUGGAACAAAAUACAUAGUAUAAUACAUAUUGGUGAACAAAAUAGAACACUAUUUACUAAUCAUCAAAUGGAACGAUAAUGAUAGGGUCACUAAACUCAAACCUCAACCCUACCUUCCAAAUACUAAACCUUAAAUCUUAAUCAUUAAACCCUAAACCUAAGUAUAAACCCUAAACCCAAAUAGAAUGGAACAAAAUAUCAUAUUUCUCAAAUGUUGAUAUGGCUAUACCUUCAUGGAAGGUGGUAAUGUUUGCUUCAAUGUCAAUCCCAAUCGUACAUAAACUAAACCCAAUCAACUAAUCAUUAAACCCAAUCAACUAAUCACUAAUCAAUAAAUAGAAUAGUACAAACUGAUGAAAUUAUGAAAUGUUUAUGAUUGCAUGUAAGAAGUUAAUGAUGAUCCCAACCCCAACUACCAACUACUAAAUACUAAACUCUAAACUCUAAAUCCUAAUUACUAAACCCUAAACCUAAAUAAAUAGAUUAAGCUAAACCCUAAUCA